GUGUGGUAGUGGUGUGGGCGUCAAGGCUAAGCGUCUAGCUGCCUCAGACCCGCCGCCUGCGCGGUCCGGCCCCUCGGCGGUUCUCGAGAAGAGCACAGCGAAGCGCGCGGCCUGUGGCAGUGGAGAUAGAGCAGCCCGCCUCGCUUAGCCCUGCUCCGUCCGAAUCCCUCCGCCCCACCCAUUGGAAGUCCGAGCAGCCCGACCUCGGCCGAGAUGGGGCCUGGGGGUCCAAGGAAACAGCAAGAACAGGCAUCCCCAAACUUCGGCCCUCCAGAUGUUUUGGACUACAAUUCCCAUCUUCCCCGACCACUGGUCCUAUUAGCUAGGGAUCAUGGGAAUUGUAGGCCAAAACAUCUGGAGGGCCGAAGUUUGGGGAUGCCUGAGCAAGAAGGUGUUCCUUUUGUGAUUGAACAAAAGAACCUCUUCACUGAGCAUAUCAAUGGCUACAUUUGACACUGA